CAGAUUGGCAUUGCUGGCAUUGUGGAGCAGAUGGUUGCUGGCACUGUGGAGUACAUUGUUGUUGGCACUGUUGAGUUUGUUGGCACGAAGUCUGACAUUGUUGGCAAGCUGGUGCAGAUUGCUGUUGACAUUGUGGAGCACACUGUUGCU
ensembl:ncRNA AC3.16 ncRNA